UACGUAGGGUGCAAGCGUUGUCCGGAAUUAUUGGGCGUAAAGGGCUCGUAGGCGGUUUGUCGCGUCGGCUGUGAAAGCCCGGAGCUCAACUCCGGGUCUGCAGUCGAUACGGGCAGACUUGAGUGUUGCAGGGGAGACUGGAAUUCCUGGUGUAGCGGUGGAAUGCGCAGAUAUCAGGAGGAACACCGGUGGCGAAGGCGGGUCUCUGGGCCGUAACUGACGCUGAGGAGCGAAAGCAUGGGGAGCGAACAGG
rnacentral:rRNA from 1 species